rnacentral:rRNA from 1 species
AGGGCACAGGGCGGAUGCCUUGGCGUUAACAGCCGAUGACGGGCGCGGCAUGACUGCGAAAAGCCCCGGUGAGAUGUCCAGCAAUCUUAAGCCGGGGAUUCCCUAAUGGGGCAACCCAUCUGGUUUAAUCACCAGAUACUCUUUAUUGAGAGGAUACCAGGGGAACUGAAACAUCUUAGUACCCUGAGGAAAAGAAAUCGAAUGAGAUUCCCGGAGUAGUGGCGAACGAAAGGGGAACAGCCUAAACUUCGCCGGCUUAGUGGGCUUGAAACCUAUGCCGACGAAGGGUUGCAAGGUGCAGCUGACAGUGUUCAAGAGCUGUCGCAGAGUAAGAAACUUUUUACCUAGUCAAAGGUCCCUGGAAAGGGCCACCAUAGCGGGUGAUAGUCCCGUAGAUUAAAGGUCAAAAGCUCUGGUUGCAUUCUUAAGUACCACGGGACACGGGAAAUCCUGUGGGAAUCUGGGGUGACCACGCUCCAAGGCUAAAUACUGUUAACGACCGAUAGUGAACCAGUACCGUGAGGGAAAGGUGAAAAGAACCCCGUUGAGGGGAGUGAAAUAGUACCUGAAACCCUGUGCUUACAAGCAGUCAGAGUCUGGAUUUAUCCGGAUGAUGGCGUGCCUAUUGAAGAAUGAGCCUGCGAGUUGAUUUAUGUGGCUUGGUUAAGUGAUUUUAAUUACGGAGCCGAAGCGAAAGCGAGUCUGAAUAGGGCUAUUUUGGUCGCAUGGAUCAGACACGAAACCGUGUGAGCUACCCAUGGCCAGGGUGAAACCCAACUAAACUUGGGUGGAGGCCCGAACUCGUAAGCGUGGCAAAGCUUUGGGAUGAGCUGUGGGUAGGGGUGAAAUGCCAAACGAACUCGGAGAUAGCUUGUUCUCCCCGAAAUGCAUUUAGGUGCAGCCUCAGGUAAAUAACUAACGGAGGUAGAGCUCUGAAUGAGCUAGGGGCCGUGAGGUUACCAAACUCAAUCAAACUUCGAAUGCCGUCAGUCUUAUCCUGGGAGUGAGACCGCGCGGGAUAAGCCGCGUGGUCGAGAGGGAAACAGCCCAGAUCAUCAGCUAAGGUCCCUAAGAGCGAGCUAAGUGGUAAAGGAAGUGAUGUCGCUAAAACAGCCAGGAGGUUGGCUCAGAAGCAGCCACCCUUUAAAGAGUGCGUAACAGCUCACUGGUCGAGUGAUGUCGCGCCGAUAAUUUAACGGGGCUCAAGUUCGCCACCGAAGCUAUGGAUCGCGCAAGCGAUGGUAGGGGAGCGUUGUUAUAGCAGUGAAGCUCUGGCGUAAGCCGGGGUGGAGCGAUGACAAGCGAGUAUGCAGGCAUAAGUAGCGUAAAGGCAUGUGAAAAACAUGUCCACCGGAAGUCUAAGGUUUCCUACGCAAGGUUAAUCCGCGUAGGGUUAGUCGACCCUAAGCUUAACCCAAAGGGGGUAGGCGAUGGAUAGCAGGUCAACAUUCCUGCACCACCAGGAUAUCGUUAUCAGCAAAGGGGGGACACAGUAGGAUAGGUUGAGCGUGCCCAUCGGACAUGGUGCGUUCCUGAUUCUAGGCGUGUUGAGGCAGGAAAAUCCACCUCGACGUCAAGCUGAGGAGAAGGGGAAGAUGAAGGGCAACCUGAUUUGACUCAACCGAGUUCACACUGUCCAGAAAAUCCUCGUUGCGAGAUAUCUCGGUGACCGUACCGCAAUCCGCCACUGGUAGACGGGGGUAAGUAUCCCAAGGUGUUCGAGAGAACUCACGUUAAGGAACUCGGCAAAUUGACCCCGUAACUUCGGAAGAAGGGGGCCCGCGCAAGCGGGGGCACGAAACCGGCUCAAGCGACUGUAUAACAUAAACACAGGUCUCUGCCAAAGCGAAAGCUGAGGUAUAGGGGCUGAUACCUGCCCAGUGCCGGAAGGUUAAGGAAAGAGGUCAGGGGUAACCCGAAGCUUUGAACCGAAGCCCCGGUGAACGGCGGCCGUAACUAUAACGGUCCUAAGGUAGCGAAGUCCCUUGUCAGGUAAGUUCUGACCCGCACGAAAGGUGUAACGACUUGAGCACUGUCUCAACGUGAGACUCGGUGAAAUUGAAAUGGGGGUGAAGAUGCCCUCUACCCGCAACUGGACAAAAAGACCCCGGGAGCUUUACUAUACCCUGGUAUUGGACUCGAGCUGAGCUUGUGUAGGAUAGGUGGGAGGCGUUGAUGUCGGGGCGUCAGCCUCGGCGGAGCCAACGGUGAAAUACCACUCUUGUUUGGUUUUGGUUCUAACCUGCCGAAAUGGUGGGGACAGUGCCAGGCGGGUAGUUUAACUGGGGCGGUUGCCUCCUAAAAGGUAACGGAGGCGCCCAAAGGUCCCCUCAGCACGGGUGGAAAUCGUGCGUUGAGUGUAUUGGCAUAAGGGGGCUUGACUGCGAGACCUACAAGUCGAGCAGGGACGAAAGUCGGGCAAAGUGAUCCUACGGCUCCACGUGGAAGGGCCGUGGCUUAACGGAUAAAAGCUACCCCGGGGAUAACAGGCUUAUCUUGCCCAAGAGUUCACAUCGACGGCAAGGUUUGGCACCUCGAUGUCGGCUCGUCGCAUCCUGGGACUGAAGCAGGCCCCAAGGGUUGGGCUGUUCGCCCAUUAAAGCGGCACGCGAGCUGGGUUCAGACCGUCGUGAGACAGGUCGGUCUCUAUCCGUUGUGGGCGCUGGAGAUUUGAGGGGAGCUCUCCCUAGUACGAGAGGAUUGGGAGGGACGGACCUCUGGUGUGUCAGUUGUCGCGCCAGCGGCAAUGCUGGGUAGCCAUGUCCGGAUGGGAUAAACGCUGAAAGCAUCUAAGUGUGAAGCCCACCUCAAGAUGAGAUCUCCCACUAGUUUAACUAGGUAAGACCGCAAGUAGACCACUUGCUUGAUAGGCAGCAGGUGUAAGCGCAGUAAUGCGUUGAGCUGAGCUGUACUAAUGGUCGAGGUCUUUGACU